GACGAACGCUGGCGGCGUGCCUAACACAUGCAAGUCGAACGGAGUUAAGUGCUUCGGUAUUUAACUUAGUGGCGAACGGGUGAGUAACGCGUGAGAAACCUGCCUUUCAGUGGGGGACAACAGUUGGAAACGACUGCUAAUACCGCAUGAUACUUUUUGGGGGCAUCCCUAAAAAGUCAAAGCUUUAUGUGCUGAAAGAUGGUCUCGCGUCUGAUUAGCUAGUUGGUGAGGUAAUGGCUCACCAAGGCGACGAUCAGUAGCCGGUCUGAGAGGAUGAACGGCCACAUUGGGACUGAGAUACGGCCCCAG
rnacentral:rRNA from 1 species